rnacentral:rRNA from 1 species
UACGGAGGGUGCAAGCGUUAUCCGGAUUCACUGGGUUUAAAGGGUGCGUAGGCGGGCAUUUAAGUCAGUGGUGAAAUACCUGAGCUUAACUUGGGAACUGCCAUUGAUACUAUUUGUCUUGAAUGUCGUGGAGGUUAGCGGAAUAUGUCAUGUAGCGGUGAAAUGCUUAGAUAUGACAUAGAACACCUAUUGCGAAGGCAGCUAACUACGCGAAUAUUGACGCUGAGGCACGAAAGCGUGGGGAGCAAACAGG